UCCGAUGGAUGGAGGAAAUACAACCAAAAAUAGAAGAAAUUAUAAAACAAGAUACAGUUACAAUAGACGAGUUUAGUAUUCUAAUAUCUUAUAUGGCAGGUUGCAUACAGUAUGUCGGUCACCGUCCGAAAACGAUAACCAAUUUUAGAAUAACAGAAUAUGAAAAAGUAUUACAGUCUAAUGUCUUCUUUGUUUCCGACGUUAAAUCUCUUCAAACUUCUCUGCAGAUAGGUGAACUUUUCGCCUAUCUGCAGAGCUACAACGGUCCGUGUUUCAUUUCUAUUACACCAAAGUGAGAUCAUUAUGAUCACCGAGCACGGACCAUUUCUUCAUUAACACAGAAGGAACAGCUCUGCAGAAACCGGUUCAAUUUAUUAGACGAAUGAUCACUAAACAAAAUUUGACAGAUAUGCCUUUCAACUGUAUUGAAUACAGACAUAUGGUAGCAACAACUAUUCAAGACAGAGUACCAAAAGUGAUAACAGUAGGAGACGGCUGCACGCAGAAAUCAACCAAUCACAAGAAACUGCAGCCAGAAGAUACAGAAUCCAGACUAGAAAAAGAACGGAAGAAAACUUAGACACGAUAGAGAGAAUAUUGGAAGAAGAUUGCC
rnacentral:lncRNA from 1 species